CCCCAGUAACGGCGAGUGAAGCGGCAACAGCUCAAAUUUGAAAUCUGGCCCCUCCCCCGGGGGGGCCCGAGUUGUAAUUUGCAGAGGAUGCUUCUGGCGAGGUGCCUUCCGAGUUCCCUGGAACGGGACGCCGCAGAGGGUGAGAGCCCCGUCUGGUCGGACACCGAGCCUCUGUGAAGCUCCUUCGACGAGUCGAGUAGUUUGGGAAUGCUGCUCUAAAUGGGAGGUAUAUGUCUUCUAAAGCUAAAUACCGGCCAGAGACCGAUAGCGCACAAGUAGAGUGAUCGAAAGAUGAAAAGCACUUUGAAAAGAGGGUUAAACAGUACGUGAAAUUGUUGAAAGGGAAGCGCUCACGACCAGACCUGGUCCCGGCGAAUCACCCGGCGUUCUCGCCGGUGCACUUCGACGGGCUUCCAGGCCAGCAUCAGUCCGCGCCGGGGGACAAAGGCGGCGGGAACGUGGCUCCCCAGGGAGUGUUAUAGCCCGCCGCGCAAUGCCCCGGGGGCGGACUGAGGACCGCGCGUCACCGCAAGGAUGCUGGCGUAAUGGUCGUCAGCGACCCGUCUUGAAACACGGACCAAGGAGUCGUCCUCGUAUGCGAGUGUUGGGGCGUCAAACCCCCCGCGCGUAAUGAAAGUGAACGGCAGGUGAGAGCCCUCGCGGGCGCAUCAUCGACCGAUCCUGAUGUUCUCGGAUGGAUUUGAGUAGGAGCAUACGGGGCCGGACCCGAAAGAAGGUGAACUAUGCCUGUGUAGGGUGAAGCCAGAGGAAACUCUGGUGGAGGCUCGCAGCGGUUCUGACGUGCAAAUCGAUCGUCAAACAUGGGCAUGGGGGCGAAAGACUAAUCGA
rnacentral:rRNA from 1 species